UCCCCCUGACACUGGGCGAAGAAACACUUUGUUGGCGGUGGUGUUCUUAUAUCAGUCAGGGGCAGAGCAGACAGCAGUCCUUUGUUCAUCCUAGCUUGAUGCCUGGCUUGGUGGCCAAAGCUAUUUUAUACCUACAACUCACAA